rnacentral:sRNA from 1 species
UCGAAUGGUGCUCACCUAAGUGCGAUC